UACGUAGGGGGCAAGCGUUAUCCGGAUUUACUGGGUGUAAAGGGAGCGCAGACGGCAGUGCAAGUCUGGAGUGAAAGCCCGGGGCUCAACUCCGGGACUGCUUUUGAAACUGUGUGACUGGAGUGCAGGAGAGGUAAGCGGAAUUCCUGGUGUAGCGGUGAAAUGCGUAGAUAUCAGGAGGAACACCAGUGGCGAAGGCGGCUUACUGGACUGUAACUGACGCUGAGGCUCGAAAGCAUGGGUAGCGAACAGG
rnacentral:rRNA from 1 species